UACGUAGGGUGCGAGCGUUAAUCGGAAUUACUGGGCGUAUAGCGUGCGCAGGCGGUGAUGUAAGACAGAUGUGAAAUCCCCGGGCUCAACCUGGGAACUGCAUUUGUGACUGCAUCGCUGGAGUGCGGCAGAGGGGGAUGGAAUUCCGCGUGUAGCAGUGAAAUGCGUAGAUAUGCGGAGGAACACCGAUGGCGAAGGCAAUCCCCUGGGCCUGCACUGACGCUCAUGCACGAAAGCGUGGGGAGCAAACAGG
rnacentral:rRNA from 1 species